GGUCCCAUAGCUCAGUUGGUUAGAGCAUCGUACUAAUAGUCACCCGUCAUUCAGACAAUGACCAUCAAGUAAUGCGAAGGUCUUGGGUUCAACCCCCAAUGGGACCA